UUAAACCAAUUCCAAUUGUUAAACCUGUACCAAAACCUUUUACAGUGCAAAAACCCAUCCCCGCUAUUGACCCAGAGUCUUUUCUAAAGCCGAAGCCUUUCUUUGAGAAACCUAUUCCUAAAUUGCCACUUGACCCUAAAUUCAAGAAACCACUUCUGCCACCUUUCCCAAUUCAAAAGCCAAUUUCAAGUCCAUAAGAUGAUAAGACUUUACCACCUCUCACUAAAAAAUAUCUUGCUUAGACGAUCUAUUUCUAACUCCUAUUUAUGUGCUCUAUAUCUCAAAAUUAUUAGUUGCACUUGAUAAUCCUAGGGUAUCUCUCUUUAUGUUGGAAUACCUAUAUAGUUAAUGUUAUCUCCUCAAUAAAGUUCUCAAUAUUUGCGGUUGUUAAUCAAUUUUAUAUUAAUACAAUUACAAAGAGUGGGUUGAUUUUCCCUUUUUAAAAUAACAUUUUUUAAUUUUAUUAUAUUUUUGUGAGAUUAUAUUUUGAGCAAGGAUACUCGUAAAUCGUAAUAAACUAAAUAAUCACGAGAAAAAAAUAUGCCUGUGUUAUAAGCUAAAACAAAUGCAUACUCAUUUGUUUCUUAAAAGCAACAUAAUAUAUUGCAAACUAAGUAUAACUUUAAGUUUGGUCAAAUAUUAAAAAAGUAUAACUUGCUAAUAUAUUCAUUCUCGAAUGAGAGUAUAUUAACAGUUUUAAAUACUAUGUAGGGAUUAUAUUCUGACACUAGGUACUUUAACAAAUGACAUUGUUUUAAGCAUUUAACAUUUUAGUGACAUAAAAAAUGUCACCAAAAGAUUUUAGGAACAUUUUUAAAGGUAUGUGUAGUAGUGUAACUACAUGUAUAUUAAUUAAGAAAGGGUGGGAUACACUACAUUAUUUUAGCAUUUAACAAAGUUUUACUCUUGUUAUUAUAAAAAAUAAAAAUAAAAAUAAAAAUAAAAACGUUCUCAUUGAGAACAAUGAUCUCCACGCGGUAAUUUGAAAGUAGGAAUCAGUAACUUGCAAAUAAAAUGACCCCCGAAAGGACACAUUGCUGGCAGAAGGCCAACUCAGUUUUAAAGAGUGUUGUUAUGAAAAAAUAUUGUUGCUGAGAGUGAUGAUCCCGACAUGGUACUUAGAAAGGAGGGAUAGGUAACAUGCACACAAAUACUACCAAUUACAAAUUACAAAUUACGUACUGCACAUUAAACUUGUACCAAAACACUAGAAAUUUCAUAAUAACGACCAAUUCAAUUUUAAGGAGUGUCAUUAUUAUGAAAAAUGUUGUCAUUGAGAGUGGUGGGUUCAGCGCACUACUUAAGAAGGAGGGAUCACUAGCUUGAACAAGAAAGGAUAUUAGAAAUUUCAUAGUACUGGCUGUUAGAUGACCAACUCAAUUUUAAUUAUUGUUGUUAUUUUAAGGGGAGUUCAAAUGGCAGACACAAGAAAAAUAAUAUAUUUAAAUCUCUUUAAUUUAAUAGUUAUUUAAUUUUUAGAAAAUUUCUUUCAAAUAAAAUAUUUAAUGAUGAAAAAAUAAAUACCUCUUAUAUUUUAAUAUAUCGAAUUUAAAAAAUUUUACUAACCAAAAGUAUCCUUAAAAAGAAAUGUGAAUGGACAUGUUUGCAGAAGACACAUUUCAAAUGUUAAAAAAGUAGAAAAAUACAUGGAAAUAGAAUAAAUUUAGAUGUCUUUUACUUAAUAAUUAUUUAAUUUUUACAAAAUUUGUUUCAAAUAAAAUAUUUAAUGAUGAAAAUCGUAAAUAACUUUCAUAUUUUAAUAUAUUAAAUUAAAUCAUUUUAUUUUCCGAAAUUCCUAUUAAAGUAUCAAGAAAAUGCAUUACAGAUGGACAUGUUUAUGUUUGAAGACACCUUUCAAACCUUAAAAAUAAUAUGGAAAUACUAAGUACAUUCAAGUUAAUAAUUUUUUUACAACACAAAGGUCUUGAACAUAAAAUACCUGUUUAGCUUGUUCUGUCAUGAUGAAAGGGUCAUUCUGGUAAGCUAGUUUCUUUAGGUCUAUCAACGUAAAUCCUACAUCAUCGAUCCGCACACCGGUGUUUACAGAUGGACAUGUUUAUGUUUGAAGACACCUUUCAAACUUUAAAAAUAAUAUGGAAAUACUAAGUACAUUCAAGUUAAUAAUUUUUUUACAACACAAAGGUCUUGAACAUAAAAUACCUGUUUAGCUUGUUCUGUCAUGAUGAAAGGGUUAUUCUGGUAAGCUAGUUUCUUUAGGUCUAUCAACGUAAAUCCUACAUCAUCGAUCCGCACACCGGUGUUGCUGUCAAUCCAUUUAGAUUUGAAAACACAAACAAUAAAUUUGACAUAGUUAAGCUCCCAAAUUUCAUCAAUGAACCCAAAAUAAGGGAUGGAAGCUACACAGGGAUUAUCAUCAUGUACACUAGCAAAGUGUUGAGAUUCAACCCUUAGGGUGACCCCACUGUUUUGCAUUGUACUUUUCUCAUCUUGUGCUUUUGUAUAAAAGGAAUACUUGUUUAUGUCGUAUCCUUGCCAAGUUAUAACAUUUCUUUUAGGCCCAUGUGCUAGCUUUCUUAAUGUUUCAGAAGCAUUUUCAUCAGCAAAGAUUGUAUCUUUAAACCAAUCAAAGAAAGUCUUGUUAUGCUUUUUCAAGACCCAAUUCUUUGACAUUUUUGGAUUACUUUGUUUGACUAAACCUUCAUGCUGAAGUAUGUAUGGCAAAACUUCAUUACUGUUAUUCAAGACAUACAAGUGAGCUUGUAACAAAUCUUCUACACUUGGAGUGAUAACAUGCAGUCCUCUUGAAUCCUUACUGCCCACUCUGUCAUCAUGCCGAGACUCGGGAAGCCCAACAAGUUUAGCCUUUUCAAUGUACUCUGAACAAAAUUCAAUGGCUUCUUCUGCAAUGUACCUUUCAACAAUAGAUGCUUCGGGACGAUGUAGAUUCUUCAUAUACCCUUUUAAGAUCUUCAUGUAUCGCUCAACCGAGUACAUCCACCGCAAAUAAAUAGGACCACAACAUUUGAUUUCUCUAAUCAGAUGAACAAUUAAGUGAACCAUGAUGUCAAAGAAAGCAGGAGGAAAAUACAUCCAACUAGCAUAGUAUAAUUGUAGCCUCAUUUUCCAGGUCAUCAAACUUGACAUGAUCAAGGACUUUGCUACAUAUGGCAUUGAAAAAAAAAGCACAGGCAAGUUAUGACUAACCUGACUUUGUUAGGCAAAAUUUCUUGUAUGGCCACGGCUAACAAUUGUUGCAUCAAGACGUGACAAUCGUGAGACUUUAACCCUACCAGCUUAAGCUCCUUCAACUGCACAAGGCUCUUCAUAUUUGAAGAGUAUCCUUGUGGGACUUUGACCCGCCACAGACACUGAUAAAAACUUAUCUUCUCCUUUUUCAACAAAGUAUGACAAGCUGGAGGCAAGUAUAAUUUUUUCCCAUCAGACCUUGGAUGCAACUGCGAUCGUAUGCCCAACUCAGCUAGAUCUUGACGGGUAUUCAAGCCAUCUUUCGUCUUGCCUUGAAUGUUAAAGAGCGUCCCAAUGACACUAUCACAUACAUUUUUCUUCAUAUGCAUAACAUCAAUACAAUGUCUAAUGUCAAGGUCAGACCAGUAUGGAAGAUCAAAGAAAUAGACCUCUUCUUCCAUAUGCAAGUCUUACUUUUUUCCUUCUUUUGGGUCUUUCCAAAUAUAGUAUUCAAGUGUUGAAUCCGCUAGAAGUCCUGCUCACCAGUCAACGGUAUCAGCACAGUUUCGUGUUCUUGACUUCCAUUAAAUGCUUUUUUCAAUCGCCUGUAAGGAUGAUGAGGUUUUAAAAAAUGUUGAUGCCUAGUGUACACUAUUUUUUUUACCAUGUUUCAGUUAUAUGUAGCUUGUGUCUUCUUCACAGAUGGGGCAUGCAUGAUGACCCUUAACACUGUAACCACUUAUAUUUCCAUAUGCUUGAAAGUCAUUAAUGUUACAAAAAAGCAUUGCACGCAUUUGAAAAGUCUCAUUUUGAAACCCAUCAAACACUAAACCCCCCUCAUCCCACAACUUUGUCAGGUCUUCAAUCAAUGGACUUAGAUAAACAUCAAUGUCAUUUCUUGGCUGUCUUGGGCCCGAUAUCAUCAUAGACAACAUCAUGUAUUUUUGCUUCAUGCACAACCAAGGAGGAAAAUUAUAAAUUACUAGUAGAAUUGGCCAUGAACUGUGUUGAGUGCUUAAAUUACCAUAUGGAUUCAUUCCAUCACUGCCUAGUCUAAGCCUAAGAUUUCUUGCCUCUUGCCGAAAUCCAAAAACAAAUGAUCUAUCUUCUUCCACUGCGAGCAAUCAGCCGGAUGACGGACCAUUCCAUCGCAUUUUCUCCCUAUUGCAUGUCAUGUAAGGUCUUUAGCGUCGUCUCCAUUAGCAAAAAGAUGCUUAAACCUUAGAACAAUCGGCAGAUACCACAACACCUUCAUUGGGGGGCCCUUCUUUGAGUUUUCAUCACUACUACACUUCUCAUCAUUCUUCACUUUGUACCAUCAUAACCCACACCUAGGGCAUUUGGACAUUUCUUCAAAUUUAUGUUUGUACAGUAUGCAAUCAUUCGGGCAAGCAUGAAUCUUCUAAUACUCCAUACCCAUAGGACACAGUACCUUUUUUGCCUGAUAGUAACUUUUAGGCUACGUGUUUUCCUCUGGAAGCAUAUCGUGCACUACUUGAACCAGUGAAAUAAAGCUUUUGUCACUCCACCCAUAUCUGGACUUGACAUUAACUAGACUUAACACCGUAGACAAUAGUGUCAACGAAUUCUUGCACCCCGGAUACAAAGGCUUCUUUGAAUCAGUUUGCAAUGUAUCAUACAUAGGGGCAUGUGUUUGUUAAAAAGACUCUUGUCCAAGGUCACGAAUCAUAUCCUCCAAGCCAUCUCCCAUUUCUACAUCAAACGGUUCAGAUUGGGGCCCACUUUAGUUGUCUGUCAUUCCACCAUGCCAUAUCCACGUUGUAUAAUUCCUCUUGAUUCCAUUACACAACAGAUGGUCUCGUAUGUCAUCAACUUUUUGCCAUCUCCCGUUCAAACAAUUUAUGCAUGGACAAAAAAACUUGUCAUUUUCAUCUAGUCGACUUCUUUCUGAAGCAAAUUGCAGGAACUGUUCAACGCCUUCCUCAUAUGCAGAGCUCAAUCGGCUUUCAUUCAUCCAACUUCGAUCCAUCUAAAUAAUAACUGAUUCAUACUCUGAAACUCAUUCAAUGCAUGAUAUCUCACUUUUUCAUUUAAGGUGUGGCCCUAUCCCAUUCAGGAAGACACAUUUUUAUGGUAGAUUCAGGCGUUAAGAUUAAUCUUAUUUUGUUAAAUUUGAUAAAAUUUUGACAGCAUUUCACAUUGGUCUCCAAGUACACGAUACAAAAUCGGUGACAUUAAUUUGUCGAUAAUCAUGUAUGCACUUAGAGAACAACUAGAGAUGCAUUGUACCAUAAUUUCAUCAAAUUAAACAAAAUAAUGUUAACCUUAACACAUGAAUCAACCAUAAAAAUGGGAGUCUCCCCAAACUGUCCAAACGGACAAUUUAAGAUUGAAUACAAUGAUUAAUGCACACUUUCUGCAAGAAUCAUUGUAUUCAAUCUCAAAUGGGAAUCUAAGGCUAACUCAUUAUGAAAAAAAGUUUAAUCUAAAGCAAAGCACAUUAAUGACAUACAAUUUAAAUACAGUGACAUCUAACACAACACAAUAGAUCGGUAAGAACCCUAACCAAACAAGAAAGCAAUGGACGCUAAGUUAGAGCAACAGACGGUGGAGGUAUCCACUCUCGUCACACGUGCCGCUCAUGAUAAGUCCUCUGAUUCGUUAGCAUCGCUAACGAAACCAACGAGUUAUCAUGAGCAACGGGUGUGACGAGAGUGGAUACCUCCACCGUCUGUUGCCCUAACUCGGCAGCCAUUACUUUCUUAUUUGGUUAUGGUUCUUACCGAUCUAUUGUGUUGUCUUAUAUCUGAAAAGAGAAACUAGCUAACUAAUCGAAACCAGCGGUAUAUAUAUAUAUAUAUAUAUAUAUAUAUAUAUACAUACAUACAAGUCCGUACGUACGUACCUAGAAUUGCUAUAAUCAAAGACCUUCCAGAGCAACACGAAUUACCAGUAGCAAAUGAUAACCUGGCAAAAUGUGAAACAAAAUUUAAUGAUUUAUAUUACAAAUUGCCAAGUAGUUAGUUAUUUACCAAGUACAUUACAUCUAGUAGCUUCUAUUUCUAUUCUUUGGUAAUUUACUCUCCUUGCCAAUUUUCCUUCUAUUUACUAAACUUAAUAUUUAUUAGUUUAUUCCUUCUUAAUCUAGUUUUUUUUCAUCGGCCAGUUGACUCACUAAGUAACCCACUAUUUGGUUCAUUGUCACCUAACUAACUAACAGACCUAUGAAACAGCCUCUUAAGUUGCAGCGCCGGGGGCAAUGCUACUAUUUCAUUGCCAGGGGCAUCAAUUGAGUGAUUUGGGUGGUAGGGAGUGAUGUAGCUCCGUUGGAGCUUGUAGGCCUUGGAUCUUCUUCAUCAAUGAAGUCCUUUGCUUCUUAAAUUUUAAUGGCAGCGGAAUGGAGAAGAAGAGGAGUUGAGAGGAGACACCACUUAAAGGAGAAUAUGAGUCAAGAAGAAGCUCACCACCAUAGGAAGCCAUGAAUAAGAGCUUGGAGGUAGGAGAAGAAGAAUGGAGGGAGAAGAAGAGAGAGAUCACGAAAUUUGUGCCUCAAAAGAGGUCUGAACUUUGAAGUGUAAUUCUCAAAUGAUCAAAGUUAAAAAAUGCACACACAUGGCCUCUAUUUAUAACCUAAGUGUCACAUAAAAUUGGAGGGAAAUUUGAAUUUCUAUUUAAAUUUUACUUGAAUUUGAAAUUGAAUUUGUGGAGCCAAAAUUUCACUAAUUAUGAUUAGUAAAUUUUAGUCUUGGUUCAGCCCACUAAUCCAAGAUCAAGUCCAAGAUUCUCCACUAAGUGUGCUUAGGUGUCAUGAGACAUGUAAAGCAUGAAGGACAUGCACAAGUGUGACUAUACGAUGUGGAAAUGAGGUGUAGCAAGUAAAUGUUCACCUCCCCCUCUAAAAUUUAAUUGGAUUAGGCUUCUCCCAAUUCAAUUAAAUUUAUUUACCAACACACACAUCAAAUAUUCACUCAAUGCAUGUGAAAUUACAAAACUACUCCUAAUACAAAAACUAGUCUAGCUGCCCUAAAAUACAAGGGCUGAAAAAUCCUACAUUUCAAGGGUACCCUACCUACAUUAUGGAGCCCUAAAUACAAGGUCCAAAAAUAAUGAAACCUUAAUCUAAUAUGUACAAAGAUAAGUGGGCUCAUACUUAGCCCAUGGGCCCGAAAUCUAUCCUAAGGCUCAUGAGAAUCCUAGGGUCUUCUCUUGCAUCUCUGGCCCAAUCUACUAGGAGUCUUCUAUCCAAUGCCUUUGCGGGGUAGGAUUGCAUCAGGGAGGUUGCAGCCCCAGGGACAGUGCUACUGAUUCUUGUCAAACCAUAAGGGGCAUGAUUAUGCUUGGUUUUUGCUUGUUGGGUAUAUCUAAAUAAAAUAAUAUAUAACAAAAUUCUCAUCAAGCCAUGUAGUAAUUGCUACUGAAUUGUAGAAUUGAGCAGCUCAAAACAGUGUUGAUUCUUCUUCCCCAACCUUGGAGGAUAAUGAAAUCUUUCAUUCUGAUAAGCAAUAUCAUGUAGAAGAAGAAUCAAUGGCAGAAGGUUCAAAAGAUCAAGUUUUAUUGAGUAGCAAUUCAUAUUGUUUUGGUGGGUCAGAUAAUGGUAUGAAAGGCAAUGUUCUAAAAAAUGAAACAUUGAAGAAUAUGAGGUCUGUAAGAGAGCAAUAGAAAAUGAAGUGAACCUCCUGAAUUUAGAGAGCACCGAUUUAGAUAAAGGGUCCUAUGAGCAGAGACCAUCAUCAUUUGCCCCCAAAGCCUAUGAGAUGGAAGGCUCUUGCAGCUCUAAGAUUAACAACACCAAAAACGACAGCAACUUGAUGUCCAAUUGUUCCAACAAAGACAUGCUCCUAGACAGCUACACCACUAGUUGGCAACCCUGAGAUUUGAUGUGAAAUUACCCUCUUAAUAUCAAAAACAGAAUGAAGAGAAAGAAUAGAAAAGUGUUGUGUGCUGUAAGGGAGAGGAAAGGUAUUGCAAAUUUGUCAACUGAGUGGGAGAAGAAAGGUGUCUCUUGAAGAUAAGAGAAGGCAAAAAAAACCUCAUGAAAUGAAGGUUUUCUAUGCACUGGAUAAUGCAAUAGAACCCACAAAAUUGCGAGCCUUCAACUUUCAGAAAAAUGACAAUCUCACAAGCAAGCUAGUUUGUUCUUCAACCCUCUGGUAUAAUCCCACUCUGCAGCAAUCCUACACUGAUACUACCUAAUGUACAAUUGUAAAUGCUCGAGCUAGUUAGUAAAAAUACUAAUAGCAUCAUAGCAACACAUAAAUACCACUAUCCUUGUUACGGGUGAAAAGAUUUUAAAAUUUUCAUCAUAAUAUCAAAUACACGUGUAUGGAUUGCUUUAGUACAGAUAUUUGAACUUACAAAAUUAUAAAUUGAUUCCUACAUUUUUCUUGGUAAACCAGACUCAGGCCAAUUGAGAUAUUCUGGGAAUUGAAGUUGCUUAAUCAAGGUCUGGAAUUACUAUUUCCCAAUAAACUAUGCUCUUGGUAUUCUUGAAGAAAAUGGAAUGGUGAAUUGUAAACCAUUAGAUAAUCCCACAUAUCAAGAUAUUGGAGUUUGGCAGAAAGCUAAACUAAUCCAAGUAGAUAUUGGAGUUUGGCAGAAAGCUAAACUAAUCCAAUUGUAACAAGACCAACCAUCUUUUGUUGUAAGUGUGGUCAUUAGAAUGCAAAUGUCAUAAUUCUGAUAUUUCUUAGAGGAUCACUAGUAAAAGGAUUUAUUAGUGUUUUUGAACAGAGGGCAUAAGGAGAUUAUUACCUAUACUUAGUAGGAGAUCUACCUAUGGAUAUUGUGUUCUAUUUGGAGUGAAUCUCUUUCAUGGAAAACCUUAAGAAGCAAAAUAUGGUUGCAAGGUCCAGAGCUGAAGCAAAAUAUCAAGCUAUGACUCUCACUACUUAUGAACUAAUAUGUCUAAAAACAAAUAAAUGACUCAUUAAAGAGCUAAAAUUUUGUGAGGUUGGAAUUGAGACACAUUUGUGAUAAUCAAGCAGCCCUUCAUAUUACAUCUAACCCAGUUUUUUAUGAGCAUACCAAACAUAUAGAGAUCGAUUACCUUUUAUAUUUCUGAGAAGAUAGACUCCAGAUAAAUUAGGACAUAUUUUGUUAACUUCAAAUAAUCAAUUGGUUGAUCUGCUCACUAAUGCUCUUUAUGGACAAGGGAUUUCUUAUUUCUAGCCAAAACAAUAAAAUUAAAGGCAAGAAAAAAUUACCUCAAGACAAGGGAAAGAGGUUUUAAUGUCACUCACACCGGUCCAUGUUCAUAGCAUAUAGGAUCCUGCAUGUAAAACAAAUAAUUCUCUAAAAUGAAGUUAAGUAAACAACCACUUAAUUGAAAAGAUAUAUCCUGAAGGUAACUGUAACAGCUAGUGUUUGGUAUAUUGAGUUCAAUCAAGAAAUAUGCAAACCCCUAGUAGUGGAAUACCUGUUGGAGUAGUGAUCAAUGCCGGGAAAUUGAUGACGUCUAUCCCUUGGUCAUCGAACUUGUACUAGAGAUGGUAGUUGUCUGCAAAUAUCAAAAAGACUCGAUGUCAUGCUACAGAGGGAAAAUGGUGGAAGGUAUUAUACCAAUUUAUAGGGCAUAUGUCAACAAUUAUUGUUUGUCAAUAGAAAAUGAUGCUAAGGUUGACAAGAAUAUGAAAUAUACGGUGCAGAGUUUGGAGAACAAGAUUAGGUCUCUAUUUUAGCCGAAGCAGAGGAAAGGUAGUAGCAUUAAAUAGGCACACUUGAUUAGUAAAAUAAAAGAAGUCAGUCAUCAAUUUCGCUUGACUCUAGCUUCUCUAUAAUGCUUUUCCUUGUACUUGCAAUUACAGACUUGACUGUAGCUACUCUAUAAUGCUUUUCGCUUGACUCUAGUUGCUCUAUAAUGUUUGGAGAACAACUACUACUACUAACAAUUACAGACCUGACUCUAUUGAAUCUGUAUUGAUGACUUUGCCUUCAAUUUCAUCAAGUAUAGUCAGUGCCUGAAUGAAGAAACAGGUAGUUCUAUCUAGCUCUGUACUUGGUCUUAAGAUUCCAAAGCUAAGUAAACAUUAAUUCUUGUGCAAAACUAAACAAUAUCCAGUCAGUCAAAUGGGAUGUUUCCCUUAGUACUAUGGCAAAGGGUUUGUUGUGUCCAGUGUUUUAUGCCAAACCCUUUGUAAAGUAAAUAUGAGGUUAAUUGCAUAAAAAAGUGAAAUAAAGCUCAGAGUAGGCAAUCCUAUCUUAAAUCUUACCCUUUCCUUGAUGUCACCCAAAGUCGGCAAGUACAGCUUAUAGAAUUCCUCUCUGAAUGCAACCACAAACCUAAAUAAACUUUAGAAACCACCAAGAAUAAGACAAUUAGGAUUCGUUUGAUUUGUAUAAAUUUAAGGGACAACACAACAAAAUAUUACAUAUGCAUACAUUCAAACUUUAUUGACUCACUAAUCUUAUAUUUCCUCAAUGUGGGUGUUAGACAGAAACCAAACUAGGAUACAUCUACUAUUUUUUUCUUUUAUAUAUGUGAGGGAUUCGAAGAGUGUCAAGAUACCUAUACUACAUUAUAGUAUUUUCACUUUUAAAGGACUAAAGACGAGUAAUUGACCAUUAUCAUGUAUAGGGAUAACAACAUUUUAGGCCUUCACUGUGUUUUGUUCGAAAUCCUGGGGUCUAUAAAAACCCUCAACUAAUUAUAGGAAAAAAAACUAUUCAUAUGGAACUAAUUUAUUUUCAAAGUUUUGGACUAUACAAAUUUGACACAAACAUUCGAAGAAUCGAUAAGUUGUCAUGAUUGAGAGUGAAUGGAAACCAUAUUCCUUAUGCACACAAUGUUGUUGUAGUGACGUACCUCAAUCACGACAGAGACAAACUCGUUUAUGGUAGUUGUGGCUUCAACGACAGUCACAGGGUCAGGAAGAAGGAGAAAGGAGAAAGGAGAAAAGGGUUUGAGCGCGCGGGGGCCAAAAUGAAUUUGUGUUUUAAUUUAUGAAAAGAACAACAUCAAUUUUUUUAACAUAACUAAUGUUAACAUGAAGUACUUAAGAUCGGUUUUUUAAAACCCGAUGUUAACCUCAAGUACUUAACAUCGACUUUAUAAUGAUCGAUGUUAACCUCAUAUAGUUAACAUCGAGUUUUAAAAAACCGAUGUUAAUUAUAUGAGAUUAACAUCGGUUUUUGUCAAAACCGAUGUUAACUACUUGAUAUUAACAUCGGUUAUUUAAAUUUAAAUAAUCGAUGUUAAUCUCAAGUAGUUAACAUUGAUUUUGACAAAACCGAUAUUAACUAACUCGAUUUAUUUACGAAAAUAUCACCGUACUUUUCUUAACAUCGAGUUUCUAAAAAAUCAAUGUUAAUCGUGCGAUGUUAAAUCUAUAUUUUAUAAUAGUAAUAAUAUAUAUAUAUAUAUAUAUAUAUAUAUAUAUAUAUAUACGAGUAUUACACUCUUAAUCAAUCAAUUUUUGCGAUCCUCACACAAUAAAAGUUCUCUCUUCCACACUUUCUCCCUCUAUCGCUUGCACCUAUUGCUCAGAUACCUUUAUCGAAUAUGCAUGCAUGUAGUUAACCUUUCAUUGUAAAUCUUUACGUUACUUACACAUUUUCACUCCAUGAUAUAUACUACAAUGGCGUGUCAUGCUAUAUUAUUUGAAGAUUACCAACCAUAAAAGAAAAGAAACACCUAAAAUGGAAGGCUCAUUCAAUGGCAGGGAGCCAUGAAUAAUCUCAGCAACUAUAACGGUGUUAAACGCGAUCUCUAAACACACCUCCAACCACUAAUAAUAAUCACUGACCAAAUCUGAAAUCUCGGAGUGCAUUUCAAAAAAGAAAGUAAUGACCAAUAGAGCCAUGAAUGUACAAUUAGUCCCAAGCUAGGUAUUAUAAAUAAUGAGAGUAUGUGACAAGACUAACUCAGGCCUCCAAAUAUUUUCCUUUUUAGCUUUGAUUAGAGUGGCCUAGUUGUUGUUUUUCUCAAUGAGAAGGGCUUCCACUAUGCAUUGCGCACUUUGGCGCUUCUGUGUUCCCUUGUUGCUACUUGCUAGCUUCAGUUAUGCACCUUUUGUUUUGGCGACAACUGAAAUUUCAGGUCUGUGGCUCAUCCUAUUACUCACACAUUCAUUUUGUUAUACAUUAGUUUAUGAAAUAUGAUGUUUCUUUGUGUUAGUCCUUAAUAAAAAAAAAUUAUUCAUUUUAAUAUUUACAUUUAACAAAACAGUAUAAUCUCUAAUCUAAGGACUAAAAAAGAUUAAAUUUAAAUAUGGGUUAAUUUUAAAAAAAGUGUGGUAAUACCAAAAAGUAUAUAUAAGUGGCCGUAGUAGUUAGUACCUAUAUAUGAUCAGGUGUAGAAGAUUAGAUCCAUAUACUUGUCAUGCAUAUAAUUAGAAAUGAAAAUUUGUAUUAUUCAUGAAGUACUGUACGAAUUUCGCUGGCCUUCGUUUCAAGUAAAAAUUAAGAUCGACCCUUCAUACACAAGAUUCAGCCAAUGAAGGGUGCUAUUAAUUACUCUGACAGAUUUUAUUGUCUUCUGAAUUCAAUUCAAUCAUUUAUCUUGGCAUGCAGUAUAUGCGUGUGGAAUUAACUUGUGGUCUUCAGCGUGGCUCCCAUACAUAGACCAUGCAUAGUCCCCACAAAAAUAUUUUUGAAAAGAACUAUGGGGAUCCAGUACCUACCUGGUAGCUAGUUUUGGUCAUUAUAUAGCUAUUAUGAUUGGCGAUGAAUUUUUCAUUUUAUUUUUAUAUAUUUUUCUCUAUCAACACUUGAAAAAUAUCAAAUUUACUGGGUAUUACAAAAAUAUUUACUGUGUUUAACUUAUAUUUUCUUGUUUCUUAUUAUGUAGGGAAUGAAGUGAGCACUGAUGGAAAGGUUUUAAAUGAAGAGUUAGCAAAACCUAAUCUACAAGGACAUGAUGAAGAAGCAAAGUUUAAAGGAUUUAUUCCAAAGCCAAUUCCCAUAGUGAAGCCUAUUCCAAAACCAUUUCCCAUCAUUAAGCCUAUUCCAAAGAUAAUUCCUAUUGCUAAACCUAUUCCUAUUCCGAUUUAUAAGCCUAUAUCAAAAUCAAUUCCCAUUAUUAAGCCUGUUCCAAAGAUAAUCCCCAUUAUUAAACCAAUUCCAAUUAUUAAACCUGUACCAAAACCAAUUCCCAUUAUUAAGCCUGUCCCAAAACCAUUUAUAGUGAAAAAGCCUAUCCCUGUUGAGUCGGAGGAAUUUCUAAAACCAAAGCCUUUCUUCAAAAAGCCUAUUCCUAAACUACCACUUCACCCUAAAUUCAAGAAACCAAUUCUACCACCAUUGCCAAUUCACAAGCCAAUUCCAACUCCAUAAGAGGAUAAUACUCUAUAUCUCGAGCUAUAUAGUUAUCCGUUCCAUUUCUAAUGCCUUUAUAAGUAAAGCUGCAUCGUAUCUCAAUUAAAUUUCGUACUCUUCUCGUAUACUGUAAUGGAAAAUAAGUAGUUGAUGCUCUCUGUUCAAUGAAGUUCUCGGUGUUAUCAUGUGUAGAUCGAUUAUAUUAAUGCAAGAGAUUGUAUAUGCAGUUAUUACUUAUUAUUUAAAUAAUGUUUUUUAAUAGUUUUUCAGUUUUAUAUUUUAUGAAUAUAUACUUAAUUGUGAGAGAGAGUGGGGCUCAUCGAUAAAUGUAGCAAUUUCUGCGAGAGAUAUAUCUUAACAAUUACAUUUAUCAUGAAUAAUAUUACGACAAGUAAAUCACUAAAUUAGUUCUUAAAAUUUUAUAGUUCAAAUCAAACAUUUCAUUUAGUAAGAUUUUAAAAGCCCUCUGUUAGUCCUUCAGUUUAUAAUAAAAGCAAAAGAAAAUUCCUCUUCUGUAAUAUUUUAUCAUUAUAUCAUUUUGCACUAAAAAGAACUAAAGUGAAAAAAAUUUGCAAGAAAAUAAAAUCAGUAAAAUUUUUUUUUGUCAAAUUAGGGGAUUGACAAAAUUAAUUAAUUUAUAAGAUCAAAUAAAACUUACACAAAUAUUACUAAAAAGAAAAAAAAACAUCAAUUCAUAGUUUCCUGACAAUAAAUAUAUGUGUAUUUGUUUAUUUUGUACUCUUUUGUUUGUUAAAAGAAUUUAAUAGUAAAGUCUAAUUCAAACUUAUAAAACUAGGUUAAAUAUUUAUUAAUUCAUUAAACUUUAAAUUAAAUUUAAAACAAAACCGUCAACCACGUACAUGAGAUAAACUCUUAGGUAUCAUCUGUCGAAAUAAAUGGUGAUGUUUGAUAAUCUUUUUCAUUGUGCCUUUAAUGGCCCUAUCUAUUUUAGCUACAGUAGUUUAUCAAAUUUUCACCUCAUCAUUUUCGGCAUCUUUAGAGAUAAUUAUAAAAUUUUGCUUCUAAACAUUUGACAUUAAGUCAUUAAUUAUAACAAUUGAUAAAGCGUCAUAUGUACCACUCAUGUAUUCCUAUUCAGUUUGUUGUUUUUCACGUCAAAUGCUAUCAACUAUCAAGUAUGAUCUAGUCAACAUUAUGGGAUGAGACAAUCACUUCAAGCUGUCUUUGUCUUGAAUUGGGUUGCUUAAUUUGGGCCAUGUCAUUUUCUUGUUUGGUUCUUGAAAGGGAAUUACUUUGGGCACCCUACAGUUUUGCUGGGACACCCAGCACCCUAGGUGAAAGGGCCAAAAUGCCCUUCACCCUAUUAAUAUAAAUAGGGCUACAUUAAUUCUUUCGUCCUGUGCUUCUUCGUGCUACAGUAAUUCUGCCGUUCCGCCACAAUGCUUCUUCCUUCGUGCUGCGCUUCUUUCUCCUCGUGGUGGUCUCCUUCAUUCUCCUUCUACUUCUUCAUGUUGCGGUUCUUCUUCUUCAUGGUUGUGGUUCUUCUUUUUCCUCUUUCUCCACUUCCCGUGCGGCUAUGGUUUUUCUUCUUUCCUUCUUCUUCCUCCACUUCCCGCGCCCCUGUUCUUCUUCUUCCUCUCCAACAAAAAAAUGACAUUUUUCUAGGAAAACCCCAUAUGGAUAUGGUUCAUAUAGAUUGCUAAUUUGUAUGAGUUUUUUUUUUUUUUUUGUUGAAUAAUUUUGUUUCAAUUUUUCUUCUUCUAAAUUUGUUUUUUUUUAAUUUUUGAUUUUUGAAUUAUUAUUUAAAUUAUUUCGUAGUAUAAUGUUAUUUUGUAAUGUUAGUGAAAUUUUAUAAUUUUUUCUGAUUUAUAUGUUAAGUACUGAUUUUAUUUAUAAAAAAUAUAUUAGUUAUUACUAAGAUUAGAUUAGAUUGCUAAAAUUAAGAUUAGAUUGGUGAAACAAUUAAUUUUUAAUAUUGUUAUAUUAUAUUUGUCUAACUUUUAAAAAAAAUAAAACAAAUAUUUAAAAGAUAUUGAAUUUGUUACUUAUGAAAAAUAUUGAAAUCAUAAUUAAAAAUAAUUUAAAUUUUUUAGUUACAACAAACAUUUAAACAAAUUUUUUAAUAAUUUAAAUUUGUUAUAAAAAUAUUGAAACAUAAUUUUUAAUUGUACAAUAAAUCUGUUAGUUAUAAAAAUUAUGAAACCAAAAUUUAAAAUAUGAUAAGAUUUUUAGUUUAAGAUAAUGAUUGAAAUCAAAUAUGAAAAAAUAUUUGAUUUAGUAGUUAUAAAAAAUAUUGAAACCAAAAUUUAAAAUAUGAUAAGAUUGUUAGUUUAAGAUAAUGAUUGAAAUCAAAUUUAAAAAUAUAUUUGAUUUAGUAGUUAUAAAAAAUAUUGAAACCAAAAUUUAAAAUAUGAUGAGAUUGUUAGUUUAAGAUAAUGAUUGAAAUCAAAUUUAAAAAUAUAUUAAAUUUGUUAGUUAUAAGAAAUAUGAAAACCAAAAUUUAAAAUAUAAUAAGAUUGUUAGUUUAAGGUAAAAUUAAAUUUAAAAUAAUAUUUGAUUUUGUAGUUAUAAAAAAUAUUGAAAUUAAAAGUUAAAAUGUGAAAUAUGAUAAGAUUGAUAGUUUAAGAUAAUGAUUGAAAUCAAAUUUAAAAAUAUAUUAAAUUUGUUAGUGAUAAGAAAUAUGUAAACCAAAAUUUAAGAUAUGAUAAGAUUGUUAGUUUAAGGUAAUGAUUAAAAUUAAAUUUAAAAAUAUAUUUGAUUUUGUAGUUAUAAAAAAUAUUGAAACCAAAAUUUAAAAUAUGAUAAUAUUGUUAGUAUAAGAUAAUGAUUGAAAUCAAAUUUAAAAAUAUAUUAAAUUUGGUAGUUAUAAAAAAUAUUGAAACCAAAAUUUAAGAUUUAAAAUUUAUUUAUUAAUCCCUAUUAUUUAAUUUUUUCAAAAUUAUUUUUGUAGAAAUUUUUUAUUCAUUUAUUUUAUUUACAAAAUUUGAUAAUUAAAAAAAUCUGAUAUUUAAUUGAAUGAUGUAUUUAGAUUUUUAUUAUAAUGAUUAAAAAUUAAAUAAAUAUGAUAUUUAAUUGAAUGAUGUAUUUAGAUGUUUUUUUAUAGCAAUUGAUAAUGAAAUAAAUUUGAUAUUUUUUACAUCUGUAAAUACUUAUUAAACCUAUCAUUUUUAUUUAUAAUUUAUAUAUGUAAAAAAAUUAAUUAUUAUAUAAAAAUAAUCAUUACAAAAUUUAUUAUGUAAAUUUAAAUAUACAUUAAAUAUAAAUUAAAAAUUUUAGUAUUAUAUAUAACGACACUAUUUACUUAUAGCAUAAUAUGUCUAUUAGUUCAGUUGGUUUGAUUGUUAUAUUGAACCCUCUCUAUCAUACCUUUGGGAAAGUUAUUCUACUUACAAAAUGGAUCGUCAAUUCUAGAAGAAAGCAUAAAUACCUCCUCUCUAAUAUUUACCAACUUGAUCAUUAAGAACAAAGGCUCAAGACUCUUCAAUGUACUCUAAGCUUCUUUUUUUCUUUUUUUGCUAUGUAAAGACAACUUAUAUCAAUUACAAAAGUUAACUAGUAAUGAGCUAAAAAAAAAACAAAACUCUUCCCAACGUUGUAUUUUGUAAACGAAGAAAAUAAAUUAAAAUAUGCCAUGAUAAAGAAAAAGUUGCUGUCAAUAAUAUAAUAGAAGAUAGGAUAUCAUCAUCGUAAUUAUUGUAAAGUAGUGGUAUUUCUAAUGUUAUUUCUUAGUAUAUAAAGCUCAUCCAUUCAUGAAACCAUUUAUGUAUUUCAAGUAAUAUUUUCAAAUUCAGAUAAACAAUUAACUAAACUUUCUCCAAACUUACUCACCAAAUUAGUAUCAUUGUGUAUUGUUAAAUUUAUUAUACUACAUAAAUUUUUCAUCAUAUCCAAAUUAAUUUUUUAAUUGUUAUUAAAGAACUUUCUAAUUAUUAAAAACUAUGUAAGGACACAUUUUUGUAACAGAUCUACUUAGCAUUUUUUGAAGUUGUUUGAUUAUGUUAUUACUUCACCCUUAAUUUUCGAUUCUUUGGUUUUCAUGAAGGUAUGCAUUGCAGAAUGGAGGUGCAGUGGAAUUUUCACUUGAAUUUUUUUUACUGAAAAUGUUCACACAAUCGAAGACCCAUAAUUGCAUUUUUUAUUAUUUAAAUUCUCGAUCUCUCUUUAGCUUUAAAUUAAGGGUAAAUUUUCAUUAGUUAAAUAUAAUGUCAAAUAAGGAUAUCUAAACUUUUAUUUGCAAUGAGUUUCUUCAAUUUUACGUGAUGGGAUUGUUUGCAUUUAUUUUAAUUGUUAUGUUUUGUCUAUUUUGAAGUUCUUUAUUGGCAAUGUAGGACAAAUCUUUUCUUAUGUCUUGGAUUAUGUGUUAGACAGUAAGCAAAAUCUCAUCAUCAUCUCCAUUUAUUGCAAGUAUAUAUGCUUGCAAUAGCAUUAUGCUAUGUUAGAUGAUUAAAAGAGAUGUAUUCUAUAUAUCAAUUUUUAAAUCACUAAUAUAAAUAUGUUCAGAAGAGAUAUUUUUAUUUUAAAUAUAAGAAUAUUUUUGGAUUUAUUUUUUGGGGUCUUCAAAUGUGUGAUGUUACAUUUGGCCAUAGGAGAUAUAUAUGGAUUGAUGUGCUCCAAAUGGAUGAAGUCAUACAAGAAACACCUUUCUCUAAUCAUUCUCUUUAGAUCAUCUAUCAAAAUUAUUCGUUCCACUUUGAUUUUAACUUAGAGAUGUUGCUCCAAGUCAGCAUUUUCCUUUUCUCUUCAGAAUUAGCUCCGAAUCAAGUUCUUGUUGCAAGACUAUUUUUCAUCAAUUAAAACUAAAUAUUCCCAGCCUGCCAAGAAUGCCUUCAAGCUAUAUGUUAGAAAUUAGAAGUGUUAUUUCUCAUCUAAUUAAUACAACACAUCUCACAUAGUUUUAUGAACUUUUAGAAUGUUGGGAUUCAAUCAAUCAAUCUAAUUUGAUUCUAACAGGCAAUCAUCAAACUUAAUCACAUGUUUUCUCUUCAUGUAAAGAGAAAUUACUGUAUAAAGAUGAAUAGAACCCCUCUGUGUUCUCAUACUCAAAAUCUUGAUGAAAACUAAGCUGUGGAAGUGUACCUGGAUUAACCAUAGUGGAAUGAUGAUGAAAAGUUGAUCAGAAGAUUGAUUUUAUGACCUUCCAAAUGUAGAGAGUCUUUUUUUUUUUUUUUUCUUCUUCUCUUAAAGUUUUAUCUUUAUGAAGUGUACAUGUUGGUUUGACUUAAGUUGCUUUCUACAAAUGGGGACCAUAACCCCUUAAGCCCCUUAUCAAAUUAACAAUAUCACUAGUAUCUACACAAUUAACCUUUCAUGAUAUCCCCUAGCCAUAUUUUUAUAUUGAUUAGACCAUUUUAAUAUUUUGGCUAAUUAUAUAAUGACCCUAACUCAUCAAAUUAUGUGAUAUAAACCCAAAAUUGCUACUAUAAAAAACUUCUAAUUUUUAAUUUAAAGCAUAAAAGUCUGAAAUAUUUACGUUGUCACCUAAGACAAAAAAUUCAUAGACUACGUUUUGGCCUAACUUAUUUAGAAGAUGAUCAAAAGUACAAAAUGAAAAUUAUUACACUGUCAAGUAUUUCAGUCUUAUAAAGUUACUUUUAUGUUUGAUAUAAAUACUUUCUUGUGACAAAAAUAAUAUUUGUUUUAAUAAUCAUGUCGUGAGUUUGCUUCUGUUUUGUAGAUUAUAUUCCCUUUUAAAAGUACUGAAACAAGAUUGAGCAAAGGUGUUCCCACUGAAAGUUGCCCUACAUUUUAUCAUAUAAGCAGUCUUUCAGAGGUGGAAACUUUUUGUUUGUAAAAACAUUUGAUAUUUGAAUACAGACUCAGACUCAUAGGUACAAGAUUAUUCUAAUUAUGCAAUUAUGUAUAUAUAUAUAUAUAUAUAUAUAUAUAUAUAUAUAUAUAUAUAUAUAUAUAUAUAUAUAUAUAUAUAUAUAUUACCAAAAGAAAUCUCUCUCUCUUGGUUAUUUAAAGAUAUCCAUAAAUUUUAAAAUGUUGUUGAUAAACUAAGAGGGUCAAUAAUUGAGUGCCUACAAGAAGAACAUAAAGACAUUUUUAUUUAACUUGAGGUCCAAUUCCUAUUAUUUUCAUGAAGAAAUAAUUCUUCACCUACAGAUCAAAUUCAUGAUUUGACAGAGGGAUCUCAAGAUGACAAAGCCUUCUCCAGCCUUGUUCUUUUGUUGGUGCAAUUGUCUUUUAUUGGACAAACUGUCAUCCCAAAAACCAUCAAGGAGAAGAUCCUUAGCUAUCUAAUAUAUUACUUUAAAUUAAUUUUUUCUAUUUGUUAUUUACUUUAAAUUUUAUUUGCAAAUUGUGGUAUAUUUUAGUCAAAAGGUGAUUAUUUCCUUUAAAUUCACAGAAAAAGUCAUACAAAUUUUGUAUAUUUUAUGAGUAUUAUAUUUUGUUUUGAAAGAAAAACUUAAUAUAUCCUGUAGAUUUUUAACAAAAAUAAUUUACAAAUAGGUUCUCUAACAUUUUGUAUUCACCGAAAGUAUAAAAGUCAUAAAAAAACCAUGAAAAGUCUUAUUAAUAAAGUGGAAAAAUCUAUUAUAAUAUCAUAAAAAGGUAAUUAAUAAAAUAAUAAUUAACAUUUAAAUUAUAUAAUUAAGAGUUUAAUGCACAUUCGCAUAUAUACUGUCAAUUUAACAUUUGUGUUAUUAUUGCUAUGGUGAUUUGUUAUUAAAUCAUUAUAUAAAAUACGUUACACUUGUAAUGUAUAACUUAUUUUCUUUUUAAUUAAAUAUUGAAAAUUAUGCAUAAAAAUGAUACCAUUAAAACUAGUAUAUUUAAUUUAUAUCUUAUAAUUUUAAAUAUUUUGGCAAGCUAUGCUAUUGGUGGUUAGUGUUUAUUUAUGGUUAAUUCGAUAACUUCUUCAUCGGUGACCCCAAUAAUAUAUAUAUAUAUAUAUAUAUAUAUAUAUAUAUAUAUAUAUAUAUAUAUAUAUCAGUCAUUAUUGAUUAUACCAUCAGUAUAACACUCUUAAUCAAUCAAUUUCUGCGAUCCUCACACAGUAAAAGUUCUCUCUCGCUUGCACCUAUUGCUCAGAUACCUUUAUCGAAUAUGCAUGCAUAUAGUUAACCUUUCAUUGUAAAUCUUUACGUUACUUACACAGUUACACUCCAUGAUAUAUACUACAAUGGCGUGUCAUGCUAUAUUAUUUGAAGAUUACCAACCAUAAAAGAAAAGAAACACCUAAAAUAGAAGGCUCAUUCAAUGGAAGGGAGCCAUGAAUAAUCUCAGCAACUAUAACGGUGUUAAACGCGAUCUCUCUAAACACACCUCCAACCACUCCCAAUAAUAAUAAUCACUGACCAAAUCUGAAAUCUCGGAGUGCAUUUCAAAAAGAAAGUAAUGACCAGUAGAGCCAUGAACGUACAAUUAGUUCCAAGCUAGGUAUUAUAAAUAAUGAGAGUAUGUGACAAGAGUAAUUCAAGCCUUCAAAUAUUUUCCUUUUUAGCUUUGAUUAGAGUGGCCUAGUUGUUGUUUUUCUCAAUGAGAAGGGUUUCCACUAUGCAUUGCGCACUUUGGCGCUUCUGUGUUCCCUUGUUGCUACUUGCUAGCUUCAGUUAUGCUCCUUUUGUUUUGGCCACUGAAAUUUCAGGUUUGUCGCUCAUCCUAUUACUCACACAUAUUCAUUUUGUUAUACAUUAUUUUAUGAAAUAUGAUGUUUCUUUGUGUUAGUCCUUAAUAAAAUAAAUUAUUCAUUUUAAUAUUUACAUUUGCCAAAACAGUAUAAUUUCUAAUCUAAGGACUUAAAAAGAUUAAAUUUAAAUAUGGGUUAAUUUUAAAAAAAAGUGUGGUAAUAUAUACCAAAAAGUAUAUACAAGUGGCCGUAGUAGUUAGUACCUAGAUAUGAUCAGGUGUAGAAGAUUAGAAUGAAAAUUUGUAUUAUUCAUGAAGUACUGUACGAAUGUCGCUGGCCUACGUUUCAAGUAAAAAUUAAGAUCUACCCUUCAUACACAAGAUUCAGCCAACGAAGGGUGCUUUUAAUUACUCUGACAGAUUUUAUUGCAUGUCUUCCGAAUUCAAUUCAAUCAUUUAUCUUGGCAUGCAGUAUAUGCGUGUGGAAUUAACUUGUGGUCUAUUGUUGAGCGUGGCUCCCAUACAUAGACCAUGCAUACUCCCCACAAAAAUAUGUUGAAAAGAACUAUGGGGAUCCAUGCCAGUACCUACCUGGUACCUAGUUUUCUUCAUUAUAUAGCUAUUAUGAUUGGCGAUGAAUUUUUCAAUAUAUUUAAUUUUGUAUUUAUAUAUUUUUUUCUCUAUCAACACUUGAAAAAUAUCAAAUUUACUGGGUAUUACAAAAGUAUUUACCGUGUUUAACUUAUAUUUUCUUGUUUCUUAUUAUGUAGGGAAUGAAGUGAGCACUGAUGGAAAGGUUUUAAAUGAAGAGUUAGCAAAACCUAAUCUACAAGGACAUGAUGAAGAAGCAAAGUUUAAAGGAUUUAUUCCAAAGCCAAUUCCCAUAGUGAAGCCUAUUCCAAAACCAUUUCCCAUCAUUAAGCCUAUUCCAAAGAUAAUUCCUAUCGCCAAACCUAUUCCUAUUCCGAUUUAUAAGCCUAUAUCAAAAUCAAUUCCCAUUAUUAAGCCUGUUCCAAAGAUAAUUCCCAUUAUUAAACCAAUUCCAAUUAUUAAACCUGUACCAAAACCAAUUCCCAUUAUUAAGCCUGUCCCAAAACCAUUUAUAGUGAAAAAGCCUAUCCCUGUUGAGUCGGAGGAAUUUCUAAAACCAAAGCCUUUCUUCAAAAAGCCUAUUCCUAAACUACCACUUCACCCUAAAUUCAAGAAACCAAUUCUACCAUCAUUGCCAAUUCACAAGCCAAUUCCA
rnacentral:lncRNA from 1 species